rnacentral:rRNA from 1 species
UGACAGUACUCCUACGGGGAGGCAGCAGUGGGGGAAUAUUGCACAAUGGGCGCAAGCCUGAUGCAGCCAUGCCGCGUGUGUGAAGAAGGCCUUCGGGUUGUAAAGCACUUUCAGUCGUGAGGAAGGUGGUAGUGUUAAUAGCACUAUCAUUUGACGUUAGCGACAGAAGAAGCACCGGCUAACUCCGUGCCAGCAGCCGCGGUAAUACGGAGGGUGCGAGCGUUAAUCGGAAUUACUGGGCGUAAAGCGCAUGCAGGUGGUUUGUUAAGUCAGAUGUGAAAGCCCGGGGCGUCAACCUCGGAAUAGCAUUUGAAACUGGCAGACUAGAGUACUGUAGAGGGGGGUAGGAAUUUCAGGUGUAGCGGUGAAAUGCGUAGAGAUCUGAAGGAAUACCGGUGGCGAAGGCGGCCCCCUCGGACAGAUACUGACACUCAGAUGCGAAAGCGUGGGGAGCAAACAGGAUUAGAUACCCUGGUAG